rnacentral:rRNA from 1 species
GACGAACGCUGGCGGCGUGCUUAACACAUGCAAGUCGAACGGAAAGGCCCUGCUUGCAGGGUACUCGAGUGGCGAACGGGUGAGUAACACGUGGGUGAUCUGCCCUGCACUUCGGGAUAAGCCUGUGAAACUGGGUCUAAUACCGGAUAGGAGCCAUUUUUAGUGUGAUGGUUGGAAAGUUUUUUCGGUGUAUGAUGAGCUCUCGGCCUAUCAGCUUGUUGGUUGGGUAAUGGCCUACCAAGGCGGCGACGGGUAGCCGGCCUGAGAGGGUGGACGGCCACAUUGGGCCUGCGAUACGGACCAGACUCCUACGGGAGGCAGCAGUGGGGAAUAUUGCACAAUGGGCGCAAGCCUGAUGCAGAGACGCCGCGUGGGGGAUGACGGCCUUCGGGUUGUGAACUACUUUCGCUAGGGACGAAGCUUUUGUGACGGUACCUAGAUAAGAAGCACCGGCUAACUACGUG